rnacentral:sRNA from 1 species
CUGGCAGCCUCAGAACUCUGGUGUUCUGUUCAGAGUCUGUCACCAGAAUAGGUACAACACAGAGGGCAACAAGGCAAGCUUUUCAUAUGUGCUCUGUCAAUAUGCCUCAAAGCUGAGCUGGGGACCGCCUCUAAGGGUGAGAGGAUAGUUCAGCAGCCAUAUCUAUUCAGUCCCUACCUUCC